AAUCAACGCUGGCGGCGUGCCUCAGACAUGCAAGUCGAACGCGAAAGUUCCCUUCGGGGAGCGAGUAGAGUGGCGCACGGGUGAGUAACACGUAGGUAAUUUGCCUUCGGGUGGGGAAUAACUCAGGGAAACUUGAGCUAAUACCGCAUAAUGCAGCGGCUCGACAUCGAGACAGUUGUUAAAGCGGGGGAGCGAGCAAUCGCCCUCGCGCCUGAAGAGAAGCCUGCGGCAGAUUAGCUAGUUGGUAGGGUAAUGGCCUACCAAGGCGACGAUCUGUAACCGGCCUGAGAGGGCGGUCGGUCACACUGACACUGACAUACGGGUCAGACUCCUACGGGAGGCAGCAGUCGGGAAUUUUGGGCAAUGGGCGAAAGCCUGACCCAGCAACGCCGCGUGAAGGAUGAAAUCCCUCGGGAUGUAAACUUCGUAAGAACAGGAAGAAUAAGUAGGGGACAAUACCCCCUAUGAUGACGGUACUGUUUGUAAGCUCCGGCUAACUCCGUGC
rnacentral:rRNA from 1 species